UUUCUUGUUGGCUAAGAGAUUAGUUUUUGCCAUUUGUGCAAUGCAACAAAGGACAUGUAUUACCUUUCACACAGUUGCCUGAUAUCCAGUAAUGGUAUACUUUUUCUUGGGACUUUUGAGGGUUUUUAUCUGUUGACGAAUCACCUCUCUCUCUAGAAGUUGAACUUGCUGAAUUCACCGGACUAGAUGCAGGGAUCUUGGGUGUUUGUCGGCAUGCCUAAUGCUGUUAAGGUUUGGAUUGUAGGUAUUUAAUAUCUAGAAUGGUGCUAGCUAUGAUGUCAGUGGACCAGUUGGACGGGUCCAUCUCUGGAAGUUCCUAAUAACAUGUUUUUGGUGGAGCCCAGGAUGGCACUAUCUUAAUGUGGAAAGGAGGUAGUGAGGCUGAUCCUUUCCAGAUGGCUGCAUCUCUCAGGAGUCACACUCAGGGCAUGAUAUCAUUAACUGUUGGGCCUGACAGGUUGUAUUCAGGUUCUAUUGACCGGACCAUAAGGGUGUGGGACUUGCACACUCUGGAGUGUGUUCUGGAACUUGUUGGACACACUGAUGUGCGAUGUCACUGAUUUGCUGGGACCAGUAUUUGAUAUCUUGUUCAUUGGAUCAGACAUUCAAUGUUUGAGUUGCCACUGAAGGAGGCAGCUUGGAAGUUGCCUAUGCAGAUCAUGAGGACCAUGUAUGUUGCUCGCUGAUUUUUUUUUUUUUUGCACUUGUGUGGAUUAUGGUAUGUUGUGGUUGAUGAUGGUAAUAGGAAAAAGUGUAGGCAAAGGGUGAAUUUUUUUUUUUUUAAUUGACUCCAUAUGUGCGAAGUGCAUGGACCUGUUUUUCUAAAUUAGAUCACAAAUAUGCAUCUUAUUGCUUUUUGGUUUUACUUCCCAGCUAAAAAUGACUACAUGAUGUGGAAUGAAUCUUUGUAAUAUUGCUACACGAUCAAGUACCUUGCAUGUGCUUGCUUGCUCCAUGUGGAGAAGACAUGAAUUUUCAUCUUUACCUGUCGAUGCUUUGUCUGUUUCUUACCAUGCUCCUAGUCUCAUGGAAGUGACGUAAUAUCAUAUCUUGAUGUUGCAAAUAUCAUUUUGUCCAGCACCGGAUAUUUUUGCACUGUCAGGGAUGAAUGAUGCGGGUGGUAAGCCAGUCCUCUGUGCAUGCAUAGACAACACCGUUCACAUGUACGAGCUCCCAUCGUUCAAUGAAAGGGGCAAGAUAUUCUCAAGAAGAGAAGUCAUGACUCUUCAGACGGCUCCUGGAGGCCUUUUCUUCACGGGAGACGUUGCCGUUUGGAACUGGUUGGAUUUUCCAAAGAGCCAACGAGAGCCGCUUCCUCAUUCGAUGGAAUCAUGCUCAGUAGAAGAGAGAAUCGAUCAAGCUAUUGACAUUGGAGUUCAAAUUUCGUGUGGAAGGCAAUGUCAUCUAUGCCCUGAUGCAACUGGAUGUGAUUUAAAGCAAGAAACGGGAUGGCUGUUACUACUACUGUCUGCAACGCACUUGUCGUUUCUGUAUAGAUAUUAAUACGGUUUGUAUAUGAUUUGCAUUAAUAAUUGAUAUGCCUUUUGUUAUUCAA